rnacentral:rRNA from 1 species
GUCUAUGGCCAUACCACCCUGAACAAGCCUAAUGUCUGGUUUCGGAAGCUAAGCAGGGUUGGGCCUGGUUAGUAUUUGGAUGGGAAACCACCUAGGAAGACCAGGUGCUGUAGGCA